CUGAGUAAGGGGGCCUCGCUGGGGAUUUGGGGACCUCUGUGUGCUGGUGCCUUCCCGCCUCCGUUCCUCUCAGCCCUGACUGGCUCUGUCUUGGAACCAGGUAACUACCUUUAUUUGAGAACCUGCUGCAAGCCCUGGGCUGUUCUGAGAGCUCAGGAAUAUCGUUCUGAUUUCUCCACCCACAAGGAGCCCCGGGCUUCCUGAGCCCUUGGGACACAG
rnacentral:lncRNA from 1 species